GAUAUCAGGGUCAAAAGGUCAAAAAGUCGUUCGUGCUUGCACAAUAAGACUUUUGAACUUGGGACCCGCCAAACAUGAGAAAAUAGCAAUUUAUGCAGUAAAUCAGCGGAUUUCGAAUGUUUGAGAAUUGUGGAAGCUGCUUUGCAGCGGAGCAAUUCGUGGAUAUC
rnacentral:sRNA from 1 species